CUCGUAGGCGGUUCAACAAGUCGGUCGUGAAAGCCCGGGGCUCAACCCCGGGACGCCGGUCGAAACUGUUGUGACUUGAGUUCGGUAGAGGUGAGUGGAAUUCUCGGUGUAGCGGUGGAAUGCGCAGAUAUCGAGAGGAACACCCGUAGCGAAGGCGGCUCACUGGGCCGAUACUGACGCCGAGGAGCGAAAGCGUGGGGAGCAAACA
rnacentral:rRNA from 1 species